rnacentral:rRNA from 1 species
UCUGGUGCCAGCAGCCGCGGUAAUUCCAGCUCCAAUAGCGUAUAUUAAAGUUGUUGCAGUUAAAAAGCUCGUAGUUGAAUUUCGGAAUUUGUCCGUCGGUCGGGCUUCACUGUCCGUACUGGUGUGAUGGGUUUCUACCUUUCUGAAUAACCGGCCAUGUCAUUAAUUUGGUGCGCCGGGGAAGCAGAACUAUUACCUUGAAAAAAUUAGAGG